rnacentral:tRNA from 1 species
GAGCCACUAGCUCAGCCCGGCAGAGCACCUGACUUUUAAUCAGGGUGUCGCAGGUUCGAAUCCUGCGUGGCUCACCA